GGAAAUGGGUAAUCAGAUUUUGGUUCAAACCUUGGGUUUUGAGCAUGUGUACCUGGGGGUGAUUUUUGACUUUUUGGGUAAAACUUUUGAAAACUCAUUUACAUGCAUUGGGAUUGAUUCAUUUUACAUUUAUUGAUAUAAUUAAGUAAGUUGUGACUAGAUACGAGAGAAUUGGCAGUGGAAUCUAUGGGGAAAGUUAUAAUUGAACCUUGAGUUGUGUUCGUGGAAUCGAGUUAAGUGUUCUGUCUAACCUUAGCUUGAGGGAUUAGGAGUUGUGUCCUAUAUGAUAUGUGGUAGUUGUUGAGUAUGAUGUAUAGGCAUGUUGACGAGUAACUAUACGUUGGGUCUAGCAUGACCGUGAUUCUUUAUAUUCUGAAUAUCUUGAUCUCAUUAUGUCUUUCAUGCCUUGGUGAUGAUUUCUAGUUGUUGUGAAAAGUUUGUGAAAGGAAUUGUGAUCGUUGAACAUCUUGGAACAUUGGCCCAAGUUAUAUUAUGAAUUGUGAAAGUAUAUGAGAUGAUUGAAUCCUUUGGAGCGUUAUCUAAAGUGGUAAAGCGAGUUACAAAGUAAAAUUUAAAGAAAGAGAAAGAGUUAUUAAAUUGUUACAUUGCCAGGAUGUUGAUAUUAUUGAUGUCGUUCCCUUUCCAGGAUUUAAUUGUUUAAUUGUUGUUCCCUUCCUAGGAUUAAUUAUUUAAUUGUUGUUCCCUUGCUGGGAUGUCUAUAUGAUCUUGAUUAUUUCCCUUUCCCCUUUUGGGUGAUUGUUGUUUCGGUGAGGAAGAGUGUUAAAGCAUGAAAGGUGAUGUCGUGUAUUGAUUGUUAUUGUGAGGAAAGUGUGUAAUGCACGAAGGGUGAUGUUGUGCCGCGCGAUGUACCAUUCUGUAUUGAUUUUAUUGAUUAUAUGGUGAGGAAAAAGAGUAAAAAGAACGAAGGGUGAUGCCGUGCACAUCUUUAUUUUAAUAUUGUUUUAGUGAGGAUGAGAGUAAAACAAGGAAGAGUGAUGUUGUGCACACUUUUAUUAUAUAGUUUCUUUGGUGAGGACGAGAUUAAAAGCACGAAGGGUGAUGCUGUGCAAAUUGUUGAUUUCUGAUUCUUUGGUGAUGUCCGAAUUAUGCUAUUUCUUUGCUUAUUAGAUGCCUUUCUAUUCGGAAUUGUUAUCUACCCCACAACAAGUUUCCCCCUCCCACACUGACUGGUUAUUUAUGUAUUUCUUUUCCAUUGUAUAUAUCUGAACUGCACUAGUUUAUUUGGUAGUCUGAUCCUAACCUCGUCAAUACUUCAUCGAGGUUAGGCUGGACACUAAGCAGGGGUUGGUUGUGCUGAUACUACACGCUGCACUGUAUGCUGAUCCUAGAGCAUCUUUCAGACAGUAGUUGUAGUGCUUCCUUUAGUCCCCCCGGAGACCCAAGGUAGACCUGUAGGCGUCUCCUUCUAUCUCUAUUUCCUGUUUCCUUAUUCUUUUAUUCAGAAACAAUGUACAAUUAUUUCUUUAAACCUUGUAUGUAGUAAUCUUAGACAAGCUGUGAC
rnacentral:lncRNA from 1 species